GCGCCAGUGGUGUAGGGGCGUCAUGCAAGAUUCCCAUUCUUUCGAGCCGGGUUCGAUUCCCGGCUUGCGCA
rnacentral:tRNA from 1 species